rnacentral:piRNA from 1 species
UUCAUUUCAUAGCACAUUUGU